rnacentral:rRNA from 1 species
CUGACCGUAAACUAUGCCAUCUAGCGAUCUGAUGGGGUAAUUUGCCUUGUCGGGGAGCUUUCCGGAAACGAAAGUUUUUCGGUUCCGGGGGUAGUAUGGUUGCAAAGCUGAAACUUAAAGAAAUUGACGGAAGGGCACCACCAGGAGUGGAGCCUGCGGCUUAAUUUGACUCAACACGGGAAAACUCACCCGGUCCGGACACCAGAAUGAUUGACAGAUUGAUAGCUCUUUCUCGAUUUGGUGGUUGGUGGUGCAUGGCCGUUCUUAGUUGGUGGAUUGAUUUGUCUGGUUUAUUCCGAUAACGAACGAGACUCUCUCCUACUAAAUAGUUUCUGGAUAAUUAUCGUCCAGUGAACUUCUUAGAGGGAUAAGCGGUGUUUAACCGCACGAGAUUGAGCGAUAACAGGUCUGUGAUGCCCUUAGAUGUCCGGGGCUGCACGCGCGCUACACUGGAAGACGCAGCUGGUUUUCCAUUCUCGAAAGGCAAUGGUAAACCGUUGAAACUCUUCCGUGACUGGGAUAGGGAAUUGUAAUUAUUUCCCUUGAACGAGGAAUUCCUAGUAAGUGCGAGUCAUCAGCUUGCGCUG